rnacentral:tRNA from 1 species
GGAGGGUUGGCCGAGUGGUUGAAGGCUCCGGCUUACUAAUCCGGCGAGCGGCAACGCUUCGGGAGUUCGAAUCUCUCACCCUCCG